UUCGACGAUGACGACAACAACGCCUACUAUAGAGGGAGGUGAAUUCGACGUGACGUUGCUGGGGUUCUCCGCACCUGGGGUCCGUUAAAUUCGCCCGUUCCGUUCUUCCCUUCCGUCGAAGUCAAGACCCAACAAGCAUUGAAUCCUCUCUCUCACGAAUCUCAAGCCUGAAAUCAUGGUUGAGUGUUUAACCUCUGAUUUUCGAGGUGACUUGACUGUUGUGCA